AAGGGUAACAUACUCUUGCCGUGAGGUUACCUACAGAAGAAGCACUGGCUAACUCUGUGCCAGCAGCCGCGGUAAUACAGAGAGUGCAAGCGUUAAUCGGAAUCACUGGGCGUAAAGCGCGCGUAGGUGGAUAUUUAAGUCGGAUGUGAAAGCCCUAGGCUUAACCUAGGAACUGCACUCGAUACUGGGUAUCUCGAGUAUGGUAGAGGGAAGUGGAAUUUCCGGUGUAGCGGUGAAAUGCGUAGAUAUCGGAAAGAACACCAGUGGCGAAGGCGGCUUCCUGGACCAAUACUGACACUGAGGCGCGAAAGCGUGGGGAGCAAACAGGAUUAGAGACCCUGGUAGUCCACGCCGUCAACGAUGAGAACUAGCUGUUGGAGAGUUUACUUUCUAGUAGCGAAGCUAACGCGUUAAGUUCUCCGCCUGGGGAGUACGGCCGCAAGGUUAAAACUCAAAGAAAUUGACGGGGGCCCGCACAAGCGGUGGAGCAUGUGGUUUAUUUCGAUGCAA
rnacentral:rRNA from 1 species